rnacentral:rRNA from 1 species
AAUCAACGCUGGCGGCGUGCCUCAGACAUGCAAGUCGAACGAUUAAAGCUCUCUUCGGAGAGUGUAUAGAGUGGCGCACGGGUGAGUAACACGUAAGUAAUCUACCUUUGAGUGGGGAAUAACAAUCGGAAACGGUUGCUAAUACCGCAUAAUGCAGCGGCAUCGCAAGAUGACAGUUGUUAAAGGAGCAAUCCGCUUAAAGAGGAGCUUGCGGCAGAUUAGCUAGUUGGUAAGGUAACGGCUUACCAAGGCUACGAUCUGUAUCCGGUCUAAGAGGACGGUCGGACACACUGACACUGAAUAACGGGUCAGACUCCUACGGGAGGCAGCAGUCGGGAAUUUUGGGCAAUGGGCGAAAGCCUGACCCAGCAACGCCGCGUGGAGGAUGAAGUAUUUCGGUAUGUAAACUUCGAAAGAAUAGGAAGAAUAAAUGACGGUACUAUUUAUAAGGUCCGGCUAACUACGUGCCAGCAGCCGCGGUAAU